rnacentral:rRNA from 1 species
CCAAUCUAGAGUNUCGGAGAGGAAAGUGGAAUUCNUAGUGUAGCGGUGAAAUGCGUAGAUAUUAGGAAGANCACCAGUGGCGAAGGCGACUUUCUGGACGAAAACUGACGCUGAGGCGCGAAAGCCAGGGGAGCGAACGGGAUUAGAUACCCCGGUAGUCCUGNCCGUAAACGAUGGGUACUAGGUGUAGGAGGUAUCGACCCNUUCUGUGCCGGAGUUAAUGCAAUAAGUACCCUGCCUGGGGAGUACGACCGCAAGGUUGAAACUCAAAGGAAUUGACGGGGGCCCGCACAAGCGGUGGAGUAUGUGGUUUAAUUCGACGCAACGCGAAGAACCUUACCAGGUCUUGACAUUGAUGGACAGAACCAGAGAUGGUUCCUCUUCUUCGGAAGCCAGAAAACAGGUGGUGCACGGUUGUCGUCAGCUCGUGUCGUGAGAUGUUGGGUUAAGUCCCGCAACGAGCGCAACCCCUAUCUUAUGUUGCCAGCACUUUGGGUGGGGACUCAUGAGAGACUGCCGCAGACAAUGCGGAGGAAGGCGGGGAUGACGUCAAAUCAUCAUGCCCCUUAUGACCUGGGCUACACACGUACUACAAUGGGAGUUAAUAGACGGAAGCGAGAUCGCGAGAUGGAGCAAACCCGAGAAACACUCUCUCAGUUCGGAUCGUAGGCUGCAACUCGCC